GUGCGCCGGUUGCUUGCAAUCGGGGUGGCGCAGCCACAAGAGUUUGGCGCCGGCAAUGGACCGAUCGAGCGGGUGGCACGCCCUGAGUCUUCGUCACUUCUCAAAAACUCCGUGGUUUGGUCUUUAAAAAUCUGUGUGUGAUGUUCAGCUUUGU
rnacentral:misc_RNA from 1 species